GACGAACGCUGGCGGCGUGCUUAACACAUGCAAGUCGAGCGGUAAGGCCCUUUCGGGGGUACACGAGCGGCGAACGGUGAGUAACACGUGGGUGACCUGCCCUCAGCUCUGGGAUAAGCCUGGGAAACCGGGUCUAAUACCGGAUAUGACUCCAUGACGCAUGUGUGGGUGAAAGCCUUGUGCGGCUGAGGAUGGGCCCGCGGCCUAUCAGCUUGUUGGUGGGGUGAUGGCCUACCAAGGCGACGACGGGUAGCCGGCCUGAGAGGGCGACCGGCCACACUGGGACUGAGACAACGGCCCAGACUCCUACGGGAGCAGCAGUGGGAAUCUUGCGCAAUGGCGAAAGCCUGACGCAGCGACGCCGCGUGAGGAUGACGGCC
rnacentral:rRNA from 1 species